ensembl:lncRNA
GCCUGCUGGUGGCUCUGGGCAUUGUACCUAAUGAGCUGACAGCAGGUUAGCUGCAGCAAGGCUGUCCCCGUGGGGUUGCGAAUCCUGCCUUAACCAAGCUGACUGGUACUUCUGCUUCUCUGCAUCUGCAAUGAGCCCUGGACUGCUGCAGAGGAUACAGCAGAACUGAGAGGAAAACAGCAGCAGCAGUGCCUGGAGUGCUGCAGGAUGUCGCCAGGAGCUGCCUAGGCUGGGCUGAUGUCCUCUGUCUGCUGCAUGGCCAUAUCCUAUAGAGAGGAAGGGAGGCGGGCAGAAAGCAUCCUAUGCCAGCGACUGGUGUUGGUACACUGCCCUGUGAACGUUCUCAAAAAGCCAAGAGCUUAUCAGUGACAGUGGGGCAGGACCCCGGUUCAGGUUACUGCCACCCUCCAGGAGCAGGCCGGGCAGAUUCACCUCCAGUAUCGAUGUACCUUACUUGCAGUUUCCUUGGAAAAUCUACUUCUGACCAAAAGACCCAGAAACUAUUUUGAACAAAACAGCAUUUCCCUUUUACUUUUGCCUCAUAAGUAUGAAACAAUUGCAUUUGUAGACUGUUUCGACACGAGAAGCAAAAUUUCUGCUGAAAAUGGCUCUGUGAUUUCACACCUGUGAUUCAGAGCAAAACCUGGGAAGGACACAGAAGAAACCACACCCCAGGUGUGUGUAUCCGCAUUCCCACUGCAGAUGUGGCUAACGUGAUGGCUUCAUAAACAUAGAAUCAUAGAAUUGUAGGAUCAUUAAUGUUGGAAAGACCUCUAAGAUCACCUAAUCCAACCAUCAGCCUACCACCAGCAUGCCCGCUGACCACAUCUCCAUGGUUCUUGAACAUCUCCAGGGAUGGAGACUCCACCACCUCUCUGGCUGGUAUUCAAUGCUCUCUGCAAGCACUUGACAGUCCUUUGCACUGCUGCCUGUAUCUGCACACUGGAGGCCAACCUGCUGCUUGAAAGAAAAUCACUCUCAGAAUCACAGUGCCAGGGGAGCCUUCUCCUUAGGAACACCCUAUUCAGGAUCCUUCUGCUCCCAGUCUGUGAUAUCCAAUGCACAGGAAUACACACAGAGGAUCUGCCUCUCUUGGGCUCACUGCUCUCCAAUGCAAGCCUGCAGUUGCAGUCUGCAGUUUGGGCUCUGUUGGUAGCACUGCACUGGCUGCUGACCCUUCCAGGAAGUGCUUUCCUCCUGUACCUCCUCCCACCACCUUGCUUGCGAUCCCAAGUGCUGACCUACAGGAUACCGUGAUGAUCCAGCAUCACCUCCACUGGGCCCCCAGCUGCCGGCUAAUGGAGAGGCCCUGCUGCGCCACGUGUUCCUGUAAGCCUUGGGUCAUCCCAUUUCACGGCUUCUCAGAAGGCAUCUGUCAGUGCGUCCGUUUCAUGAAGUACACAGAACGGAGAUUAAGUUGCAUUUCAACCACCCUUUCCUUUCUUACCAAGCACUUUGCGUAGGAGUGGCAGCCCCUUUGUUAACUGAUGGGAAGAUAUGAGUUUGUGCUUCUGGUACAUCCCUAAUGGGGGAACAGUCCUUCCAGAACUCCCAGCAUCUCCUCUCCACUAAGGUGCUCAGCAAUCCUUCAGCUAGAAGAGGUGGAAAGAGAAAAGGUGGGCAGGUUUGCUAGCAUAGAGCUGCAAGAGAAGGAAGAAACUGAGAAAUGAAGAGCUGCAAUAACACGGGGACAUUUUUGCCAGAGGUACUAAUACCAAGAACAGCUGCCUGUCACUGAACUGCUUUUCCCCUUUGCUCACUAGGACACGUUAAAUAUGCAGAAGCUGCGUCACCUCCCUUGACAGACAACUUUGGAGAUGUUUCCUGUAUGUGGGGCUGCCUAAGAGUCUGCAGACAGUUGGAGCCAGCCCGGAGCUCCCAGAAAUCACGAGGGAAGCCAGGCUGUGCAGCCACCUCCCAGGGAUAUCACAAGUCCCUGCUGGGUGCAUGCAUGGUGCCACGAGGACCUCUGUUUGUGCAGGACCAUUGCUCUGAGAGUGCUUCCCCUGCUGCUAUUGCAGCUCUCUGCAAGACCUCAUAUUUCUCAACCGAUUUCCUUCCAGCCCCACAUUUGCGAGUGCUGAGGGCUGUGGCAAUUGAGUGAUCAAGCACUCUCCCUGCCAGCGUUUUCUACCCGGGCCUCGUGCUGACCCUCAGGGUUAUCAGAAAAGCCUUUCGUCAGACGUCAGCCGGAGCAGAAAUUGGCAUGGAGACAGCGCUGCAAUUCUGUAAGGCGUUGCACUUGUACUGGCAAAGGUGGAGAAUGCAGCCCUGGCAUUUAUGGUGCAUCAGCCCACGCAUGGUCACAGUGCCUGACGACGCAAAGAAGAAUUGCGGCUGUAAAAUUGCCCAUAGCAGCUGAGCAUCCACUUUGCCUUGCCUCAUCCUCAGGAUGCGGGGCGCUCUCUCAAGGAGCAGUUUCUCGCUGGUUUAACAGCCUGCAGGACCGCCCAGCUGCACGUUGCAGAGGAUGCUUGGCUGUGAGAUCCCAGCCCCAUGCCCAAGGGGUGCGUGCACACAAAAAUGGGGCCACCUAAGCCAGAUACGGGCUAGAUGGGAGGGUGGGGGACAGCCCUCCAGAAGAAAGGAAGCCGUAAGUAGAGCUGCCUCCUUGCUUGGUGCCGCCUCCAAGAGCCCCCAGGGCAGUGGCACAGCCUGGCUGCAGCCCCCAGCAGACCCUUGGGGCACAGCCACAGAGGCUGCUGGAAAAUGAAACUUCAGCCCUGCUGGCAGCCACCCAAUUUCAACAAUUUUUUGUUUCGUUCUUGAAAGAAGGCAAAGGGGGAAGCUUUGUUUUCUCCCGGGCUUCUCAGAAAUGCUUAUUUGGGAACGGGGCAUUUUCAAAUGUCAUAUUUGGAUGGAAAAUGCCUUAUCUAGUAAGAAUAGUUAAUCUUCCUCCAGUCUGAGAUGCCUGAAAACAUCCCACUUGGCUCUCCUCCAUGCAGCGGACGGCUGACUCCCAGCCCUGCUGCCACGUGCUCAGUGCAUGGAGGGACAUGGGGAGUACGGGCUGGUUCCUCUAUGCCCAGAAGCACUUGGGAAGGGGCUUUUUCCUGUGCCGUGCUUUGAAAGCGGUGACCAAACCCUGUCAGCGUGUUCCUGAGACUGGGCUGCUGCCCCUCGUAUAACCACAACAGCGUGGCUGAAAGGGCUGCAGGAGGACUUCCUGUCCGCACCAGAUCAGGUUACACUGCUGUCCUGCUUCCCCUGCCACUAAAGUCUGGGACAUACGUGUUGGGAGCAGAAAUGCAGAGGAGGUGUUGGAGAACAAAUGUGGACCAGAGCUCAAAGAAAGCCCAGGUCUCCAUCCAGCCUCAUGCAGCACUGGUACCUGAGUGAGCAGGGAGCCCAAGAGCAACACCUGUGUCUGCUUCCAGGAGGGUCACUGGUUGUUGCAGGAAUACAAUCUCUCCAAACACUCGUGCGGCUGCUGUAUUAUUUAACAAGCCUCCUGCUUAGGAAAAACAGCAUAAAAAUGGAGAUGCUGAAAACAGAGGAUCCUGCUGUAGGCUGCUCCAUAAUACCUUCCUGUUCAGUGAAGAUGUGGUAAUGGAUGUUUUCACUGCAGCCUCACUCCACUCGUGGUGACGAGUUCCCGUAUCCUGUACUUUGCUUGUACUACACUGCAAGCUUGUGCUCAUCCACUUCAAUGUGUGUUCUGUGAGGCAGCUGAUUCCACUUCCUUUAAAGCAUCCAGAGAAGGACCCUCCAGCACUAACAGAUAAGGCACAUGUCUCUUUAUGGCUUAUCCCUUAGAUUUUGAAGCUGAGAAAUCUACUUUUUGCCUGGGGAAAAUAUUAGCCAACAUCACUAGGAGGUUAAAGCCUUUGGUCACAGGUUACGCUAUAGUUGGUAUUACAAACAAUUUUUUUUCAUGCUGUCAAAGAGCAAAUUAGAAAAUAUACUGAUGUUCUUAUAUGUUAUCUCUUACUGUCAUUAACAAAUGAGACUUCGGAAAAGGUUUAGCCAUCAGACUGGUUUUUAUUGCCAUGAUGUGAAAGAUUGGGAUGCAGUGGGACCCAGUGCAAAUCAAUACCCAUUUUGUCUUCUUUCUUUAUGCCCUUUCUGCUUCUUCUGUGAAUGACAGAACUUGGAGGCUUUCAGCUCAAAACCCCCUGGUGGGAUGAGUGACUUGUGAAAGUGGGAUCACGCUGGCUACAAGAAUCCAUGCUGCAGAGCUCAGGACCAUGCAGGCAUCUCACUGUCCAGAAGUUCUGGAUGAAUUCAGUUCCUGACCUUCUCACCUUGGUUUGAAGUGGGAAUUGCUGUAUAGCUUGGUCUCUUACUCUUCUGACCCUCUAUGUUUUAUGUAUCUAGUAAUGUUAUUCCUUAAAAUAAUCUACUCACAGAGUAUGGCAUUUCCUAUAAUCAGAUAAUCUUGAUGGUAUAAAAAAAAUAAAAUGCUAAUAACUAAAACAGCAUCCAAAGAAAGGAUGCCUCAUCCAAAAACAUCUUCAUAAAAGGCAUAUCUUUAAAUCGAGACACCAGUCUAUGUUAUCCACAAAGACCAGUAAUCACAGACCGAAUUGUAAGAGCUUUCUCCAUGUGCGUACUACAAAACUUGGGAGUGAUUUGCCAAACAGAAAAGCAUACAUUGAUCAGGGAAAUAAAAGCUUUGCCACUGAUCCUCUGAGAGGUGAUGGCUAUUAGCAGAAAGAAACUCAACACUGAUCUAGAAAGUGCAAUGUGAAGAGCUUCUGAAGAUGCCACACACCGCCAAAUAUGAGGACAGUGCUGUGUGCUCUCUGCUUCUAUCAGUCGUGUAACGAGAAGGGUGUUUCUACCUGAAGUACAGACACCUGGCUUCCUACUCAAGCACCACAAGCAAUCUCCUCUGGUAACACAAACUGCUUACUUCACCCCAGAGUUAGAGCUCACUGUAGAACCAUCUGGUUUGGAGUUGUCUUGUCACUACCCAUCUUGUGAAAGAUAUUUUCAGGAUGCUAACAACUCCAUCCAAAAAGUUCUUCUGUUUUGUCACCCAUGAUCACAUAUAUUUAGAUGCCAUAUGCCCUGUAUUCUCCUUCUCCGGAAGCUCUGGGUUGAUUUGUGCCAAGAACUGAAUGUAAGAAAUUUGCCUUUUGUGUGUUAUUGUUCAUAGACUCUCACUCAGCCCCUGGGACUGAGGCAUAACGUAUAUGCGUACAUACUUGAAAAUAGAUUGUCUUGGUGUCCCACUCACAAACUGUGAGCCAACCCGCCUCCCCCACUCCUUGAUGGGAGUCAUUUUGCCAUUUGGGGCUUAUGAAGCAAGAUCUUUGCUAACCCUCUUGUUCUCUGAAAUGCUAUAUAUUGUCUUCCCCUUCAUCCCAGCCUACAGGCAGAACCAGCAUGUGAGGAUGUACGAUGCAUGAUUCAAUGUCAUGCAAAAAUUCUGCUGAACUCCUCACAUUCUGCAGCAAUAGUAAUCUUUGUCUGGUCUGCGACCGGAGAAAGCAAGCUCCAAAGCGUGCAAAGCGUGUUUGACCUUACUUUCAAACACCCGUGUGCACAGUCAAAGCCCCAGAGAACUCAUUACAUUCACAGUCUAGAAACUGGUGUUUUGUUCUCCGUCCCCGCUCCGUCUGCCUUUGGAUGAAUGCAGCUGAAAAUGUCAGAGAUGCAGCUCCUAUGUAACGUAAGAGGAGGAUUACAGCUUUCCUGACAUCGGAAGGGGGGGUUACAACAAUGCAGCUGACGUAGGAAAGGACAGAUUACAGUGCAUCUGACAUAGUAGGAAUUAUAGAAAAUGUAUUUACAGCGAUGGCUGGAAAAUGAAUUUAAUAUGCUGUUCCAGAGGACAAUAAAGGCGUGUUGCAACAGUUCUCCCCCCUCUGGAAAGUCGUGUUUCUCACUUGUCCAUCAGCACAAACAAUCUGUGCUGUAUGGCAGGAAAUAUCGGACGCAAAUAUCGCAUUAAUCUCUACGGAAGGAUACCUGUUAUCGUAACUUGCUCAUUCACUAAGGUCUCUCAGUAGUGGCUCAGACAAUAGGUGGAUAUAUCAGGUUUUCCCCCUGGGAGAAGUGUACCACAGG